AUGAACGCUGGCGGCGUGCCUAAUACCUGCCAGUCGCGCGAACAGACGAGGAGCUUGCUCCUCUGACGUUAGCGGCGGACGGGUGAGUAACACGUGGAUAACCUACCUAUAAGACUGGGAUAACUUCGGGAAACCGGAGCUAAUACCGGAUAAUAUAUUGAACCGCAUGGUUCAAUAGUGAAAGACGGUUUUGCUGUCACUUAUAGAUGGAUCCGCGCCGCAUUAGCUAGUUGGUAAGGUAACGGCUUACCAAGGCGACGAUGCGUAGCCGACCUGAGAGGGUGAUCGGCCACACUGGAACUGAGACACGGUCCAGACUCCUACGGGAGGCAGCAGUAGGGAAUCUUCCGCAAUGGGCGAAAGCCUGACGGAGCAACGCCGCGUGAGUGAUGAAGGUCUUCGGAUCGUAAAACUCUGUUAUUAGGGAAGAACAAAUGUGUAAGUAACUAUGCACGUCUUGACGGUACCUAAUCAGAAAGCCAUGGCUAACUACGUG
rnacentral:rRNA from 1 species